rnacentral:rRNA from 1 species
GACGUAGGAUGCGAGCGUUGUCCGGAUUUAUUGGGCGUAAAGAGUUCGUAGGUGGUUUGUUAAGUCCGAUGUUAUAUUACGAGGCUCAACCCCGGGAGUGCACUGGAUACUGGCGAGCUGGAGUGCAGUAGAGGCAAGUGGAAUUCCCAGUGUAGCGGUGAAAUGCGUAGAUAUUGGGAAGAACACCAGUGGCGUAAGCGACUUGCUGGGCUGUA